UACGUAGGUGGCAAGCGUUGUCCGGAUUUAUUGGGUUUAAAGGGUGCGUAGGUGGCUAACUAAGUCAGUGGUGAAAUAUCUCAGCUUAACUGAGAGGGUGCCAUUGAUACUGGAUAGCUUGAGUACAGAUGAGGUAGGCGGAAUUGACGGUGUAGCGGUGAAAUGCAUAGAUAUCGUCAAGAACACCGAUAGCGAAGGCAGCUUACAAAGCUGUAACUGACACUGAGGCACGAAAGUGUGGGGAUCAAACAGG
rnacentral:rRNA from 1 species